rnacentral:rRNA from 1 species
GGGAUAACGUCCAGAAACGGACGCUAAUACCGCAUACGUCCUACGGGAGAAAGCAGGGGACCUUCGGGCCCUUGCGCUAUCAGAUGAGCCUAGGUCGGAUUAGCUAGUUGGUGGGGUAAUGGCUCACCAAGGCGACGAUCCGUAACUGGUCUGAGAGGAUGAUCAGUCACACUGGAACUGAGACACGGGCCAGACUCCUACGGGAGGCAGCAGUGGGGAAUAUUGGACAAUGGGCGAAAGCCUGAUCCAGCCAUGCCGCGUGUGUGAAGAAGGUCUUCGGAUUGUAAAGCACUUUAAGUUGGGAGGAAGGGCAGUAAAUUAAUACUUUGCUGUUUUGACGUUACCGACAGAAUAAGCACCGGCUAACUCUGUGCCAGCAGCCGCGGUAAUACAGAGGGUGCAAGCGUUAAUCGGAAUUACUGGGCGUAAAGCGCGCGUAGGUGGUUCGUUAAGUUGGAUGUGAAAUCCCCGGGCUCAACCUGGGAACUGCAUUCAAAACUGACGAGCUAGAGUAUGGUAGAGGGUGGUGGAAUUUCCUGUGUAGCGGUGAAAUGCGUAGAUAUAGGAAGGAACACCAGUGGCGAAGGCGACCACCUGGACUGAUACUGACACUGAGGUGCGAAAGCGUGGGGAGCAAAC